AGUGGCGAACGGGUGAGUAACACGUGAGUAACCUGCCCUUGACUUUGGGAUAACUUCAGGAAACUGGGGCUAAUACCGGAUAGGAGCUCCUGCUGCAUGGUGGGGGUUGGAAAGUUUCGGCGGUUGGGGAUGGACUCGCGGCUUAUCAGCUUGUUGGUGGGGUAGUGGCUUACCAAGGCUUUGACGGGUAGCCGGCCUGAGAGGGUGACCGGCCACAUUGGGACUGAGAUACGGCCCAGACUCCUACGGGAGGCAGCAGUGGGGAAUAUUGCACAAUGGGCGGAAGCCUGAUGCAGCAACGCCGCGUGCGGGAUGACGGCCUUCGGGUUGUAAACCGCUUUCGCCUGUGACGAAGCGUGAGUGACGGUAAUGGGUAAAGAAGCACCGGCUAACUACGUGCCAGCAGCCGCGGUGAUACGUAGGGUGCGAGCGU
rnacentral:rRNA from 1 species